rnacentral:rRNA from 1 species
UAUGUGUUGUUGGGUAGGGGAGCGUUCUGUAAGCCUGUGAAGGUGUACUGUGAGGUAUGCUGGAGGUAUCAGAAGUGCGAAUGCUGACAUAAGUAACGAUAAAGCGGGUGAAAAGCCCGCUCGCCGGAAGACCAAGGGUUCCUGUCCAACGUUAAUCGGGGCAGGGUGAGUCGACCCCUAAGGCGAGGCCGAAAGGCGUAGUCGAUGGGAAACAGGUUAAUAUUCCUGUACUUGGUGUUACUGCGAAGGGGGGACGGAGAAGGCUAUGUUGGCCGGGCGACGGUUGUCCCGGUUUAAGCGUGUAGGCUGGUUUUCCAGGCAAAUCCGGAAAAUCAAGGCUGAGGCGUGAUGACGAGGCACUACGGUGCUGAAGCAACAAAUGCCCUGCUUCCAGGAAAAGCCUCUAAGCAUCAGGUAACAUCAAAUCGUACCCCAAACCGACACAGGUGGUCAGGUAGAGAAUACCAAGGCGCUUGAGAGAACUCGGGUGAAGGAACUAGGCAAAAUGGUGCCGUAACUUCGGGAGAAGGCACGCUGAUAUGUAGGUGAAGCGACUUGCUCGUGGAGCUGAAAUCAGUCGAAGAUACCAGCUGGCUGCAACUGUUUAUUAAAAACACAGCACUGUGCAAACACGAAAGUGGACGUAUACGGUGUGACGCCUGCCCGGUGC